GUUGACGUCAUAAUAAUAUCAUGAUCCAAAAGCAUCUCCUCGUGUAUUUUAUGAUACGAAAGCGAUCGAAAUUAAAAGUAGGUACGCUGCACAGUUCGGUGGUAUAUAAAACAUUGAUGUUUUUACAUUCGGUAAAACGCUCGUAGUCGUCUCUUCGCAUAUUAAUCAUUAAUCGACGACUGCCUUAACAGAAAUCUAAAA